rnacentral:rRNA from 1 species
AUGUCUGUGUGAAUUGAAUAUUUAGUCUGGCCUGCCCACUGAUUUUUUAAAGGGCUGCGGUAAUUUGACCGUGCAAAGGUAGCAUAAUCAAUAGUCUUUUAAUUGGGGGCUUGAAUGAAGGGCUUGACGGGGGAAAAGCUGUCUUAUUUAUUAAGGUUGAAUUUAACUUUUGUGUAAAAAGGCAUUAAUGAUUUAGAGGGACGAUAAGACCCUAUAAAAUUUUACAUGUUGAUAUUGUUUAGUGAAAUAGUUUAAUUAAUUAUUAGUUGGUUGGUUGUGUUUUGCUGGGGCGGCAAGGAUAUAAUUCUAACUGUUUUAAGUAAGAAAUAUUUAUUAAUAGAUAAUGGUCCUUUAUUUAAGAGUUAAGAUUAAGUUACUUUAGGGAUAACAGCAUAAUUUCUUUUGAGAGUUCUUAUCGAAGAUGAUAGUUGUGACCUCGAUGUUGAAUUAAAUUUUCCUUUGAAUGUAGGAGUUUGAUGGGAGUGGCCUGUUCGGCCUAUAAAUAUUU